CAGUCGCCACGGUAAUACGUAGGGUGCGAGCGUUAAUCGGAAUUACUGGGCGUAAAGCGUGCGCAGGCGGUUGUGUAAGACAGGUGUGAAAUCCCCGGGCUUAACCUGGGAACUGCGCUUGUGACUGCACAGCUAGAGUAUGGCAGAGGGGGGUGGAAUUCCACGUGUAGCAGUGAAAUGCGUAGAGAUGUGGAGGAACACCGAUGGCGAAGGCAGCCCCCUGGGCCAAUACUGACGCUCAUGCACGAAAGCGUGGGGAGCAAACAGGAUUAGAGACCCCUGUAGUCCCUGUCUCUUAUAA
rnacentral:rRNA from 1 species